rnacentral:snRNA from 1 species
GUGCUCGCUUCAGCAGUACAUAUACUAAAAUUAGAACAAUACAGAGAAGAUUAGCAUGGCCCCUGCACAAGGAUGACACGCAAAUUCGUGAAGCAUUCCAUCUUAAA